ACUUGUGAAUUCUCAGCAUGUAUUGAAAUAGCUUGACGUGCAAUUUCACGGAGUAAACCACGUAUGUCAGCUCAGUCAGUACACGCUGAGAAGCUCGGAC